rnacentral:lncRNA from 1 species
UGUGGGAGUGCCUAGGCCGUGUGCCACGCUGAAUUAGGCCCAUUUUGUCCAUUUUUGGCCUGUUUCUUGCUCUUUUCACCUUUCUAUGCUCACCUAAGUGUAAAACAUGAAUUUAAAGGAUUAGGAGGAUCGAAUUCAAUAAAACCAAGGAAAAAUCAUCCAUAAAUAUGCCAAGCAUGGGGUAAAAAAUAUGUAUAUAUUACGGUUUAUCACAUACUUUCUAUUAUUUCUGAAAUAACAAAACAACAAAAUAAAAUAAAGGAAGCUAUGGUUCGGUUGAUUCUAAGCUCAAUCAAGGUACGAAACUAGCUCAGUUUUUGAUAAUUUCUACGUUUUUUAAAUCGUUGCUUCAAAUAUUAUUCGACCCAUGCUAGAAUUUCUGAUUUUGAUGAAUAUUUUGAAUUAUUUCAUUGAUUAAUAUUUGUAUUUUAUGAUGUUUGAUGAUGAAUUAUGAAAUAUAUUUUUUGGAUUAAUAUGUUUUGUAUUGGAAUUUUUGAUGAAUUCGAGUAAUUAGGGCUAAAUUGUAAAAAUUAUAAAUUGAGGGACUAAAAUAUAAAAUAAAUGAAAUGUAUGGAUUUUUAUGAGCAUAAGGAAGUUUCGGUCUAGCAAUAGUGUGGUCAAAUUUUGUAUAUUUUGUGUUUUGUGCAAUUUGGACUAAAUUGUAAAAAGUGUAAAAUGUUAGGGGAAAAUGGUAAUUUGUCCAGAACAAGUAUUUGUUGCCGAGGAUUGAUGAUCUGUUUGAUCAAUUGAGAGGAGCCACUAUAUUUUCAAAAAUAGAUCUAAGAUCUGGUUACUACCAGUUGCGAGUUAAAAAGUCAAACGUGCCUAAGACUACUUUCAGGAUGAGGUAUGGUUAUUUCGAGUUCCUGAUCAUGCCUUUUGGUCUAAUGAACACCCCAACUAUGUUUAUGGACUUAAUGAAACGCAUUUUCCGACCAUACUUGGACAAGUUUGUUGUGGUAUUCAUUGACAAUAUUUUGAUCUAUUCUAGUAAUGAGUCCGAGCAUGCUGAACAUCUGAGGACUAUAAUACAAAUCUUGCAAGACAAGAAAUUGUAUGCUAAGUUCAGCAAAAGCAAGUUUUGGCUUCGAGAGGUAGGAUUUUUGGGUCACAUUGUUUUGGGUGAUGGCAUCCGAGUUGAUCCGAGUAAGAUAUCUGCUAUUGUCGAGUGGAAGCCGCCGAAGAACAUAACCGAGAUUAGAAGCUUUUGGGGCUUGGCCGGCUACUAUCAAUGCUUUGUAAAAGGAUUUUCAAUAAUUGAAACUCCUUUGACGAGGUUGCUGCAAAAAGAUGUUAAGUUUGAAUAGUUAGAGAAGUGUCAGCAGAAUUUCGAGAGAUUGAAGACAUUGCUGAUCGAAGCUCCAAUACUAGUACAACCUGAGCCGGGAAAAGAAUUUGUGGUUUAUAGUGAUGCGUCCUUGAAUGGACUAGGUUGCGUACUGAUGUAAGAAGGUAAAGUGAUAGCCUAUGCUUUGAGGCAAUUAAAACCACACGAGAAAAUUUAUCCAACACAUGACUUGGAGCUAGCAGCCAUUCUAUUUACCCUGAAGAUUUGGAGACACCAUUUGUAUGGUGAGACAUGUCGUGUAUUCACCGAUCACAAGAGUUUGAAAUAUUUGAUGACUCAAAAAAAUUGAAUCUAAGACAACAGAGAUGGUUAGAGUUGAUUAAAGAUUAUGAAUUGAUCAUUGACUAUCACCCGGGAAAGGCAAAUGUGGUCGCAGAUGCACUAAGCAGAAAAUCCUUGUUUGCUUUGAGAGCCCUAAACACGUAGUUGGCAUUGUUAGAUGAUAGUUCGGUUUUGGAAAAGUUAAGAGCCAGACCAAACAAGAAAUUUGUGUAGCCUAGGUCAAUGAUAGUGGUUUGCAAGCCAAGGGAACUCAAUGCGAGUCAGGCACCGACACAGAUUUUCAAAUUGGUCCCGAUGGUUGCUUGAUGUUCAGAAGUAGGAUCUGUACACCAAGAGACGACAAGCUUAUUCGAAAAAUUUUGCAAGAGGUGCAUGAUAGUCGUUUGUCUAUUCAUCUGGGAAGUACCAAGAUAUACAAUGAUUUGAAGAAAAUGUAUUGGUGGAAUGGCAUGAAAAGAGACAUCUCCGAAUUUGUAUUGAAAUGCUUAAUAUGUUAGCAAGACAAGGCUGAACACCAAGUACCUUCAGGUUUGUUAUAGCCUGUGAUGGUCUCCAAAUGGAAAUGGGAUAGAAUUACCAUGGAUUUUGUGACAGGAUUGCUGUUAACCUCGAAAAAGAAAGAUGUUGUUUGGGUUAUGGUUGAUAGGCUAAUGAAGUCGGCUCACUUUAUUUCAAUACGAAUAGACUACUCAUUUGAGAAAUUGGUCGAGUUGUAUGUAUCUGAAAUUGUGAGAUUACACGGGGUACCGAUAUCGAUUAUCUCAAACAAGGACCUGAGAUUCACUUCAAGAUUUUGGAAGAAGUUGUAAGAAGCCUUGGGUACAAAGUUAAGUUUUAACAUGGCUUUUCACCCGCAGACUAAUGGUCAAUCUGAGUGGACGAUUUAGAUUCUUGAGGACAUGUUGCGGUGUUGCGCCCUUGAAUUUCAGGGUAGUUGGGAAAAAUACUUACCAUUGGUGGAAUUUGUCUACAACAACAGUUUCCAAACGAGUUUAAAUAUGGCACCUUACGAGGCAUUGUAUGGCCGAAAGUGUCGGACUCCAUUGUAUUGGGUAGAGCUCAAGGAAAGCCAGAUUCACGGAGUUGAUUUAGUCAGGGAAACUGAAGAAAAGCUUAAAGUGAUACGCGACUGUUUGAAAGCAACAUCGAAUGGGCAGAAAUCGUAUGCUGAUUUGAAAAUAAAAUAGAUUGAAUUUCAAGUUGGAGACAAAGUGUUCUUGAAAGUAUCUCCAUAGAAGAAGGUCUUGAGAUUUGGCCGAAAAGGAAAACUGAGUCCAAGGUUUAUUAGACCCUAUGAGAUUACUAGGAAUGUUGGACCGUUAGCUUACCACUUAGCACUGCCAUCCGAAUUAGAAAAGAUUCAUGAUGUAUUCCAUGCAUCUAUGUUGUGUAGAUAUAAAUCGAACCCCUCUCAUAUGACUUCGCCCACGGAAAUUAAAAUUAGACCGGAUAUGACUUAUGGUGAAGAACAUGUCAAGAUUUUGGCUCGGGAAGUCUAACAGUUGAGGAACAAAAAUAUAGCCUUGGUGAAAGUUUUAUGGCAUUGACAUGAAGUGGAAGAGGCUACAUAGUAACCUGAAAAAACCAUGAGAAGUCAAUAUUUGAACUUGUUUACUGGUAAGACUUUCGUCGGAGGACAAAUGUAACAUCCCGAAAUAGGGCCUAGUUAGAAUAGUGAUUUCAGGACUACAAAUCUGACGUUAAAAUAAUUAUUUAAUGAUCAUUAUCAGGUCUAAGAUAUAAAAAUAUGCAUGUGUUAAAGUUUCAUGAAGAAAUUCUGUGUAAGGUGCCUAAUUAGAAAUUAAGGACCAAAUUGGAUAAGUUGCAAAAUUUGGGUUCUAGAAGAAAUUUGUAUGAAAUUGUUUUGGAAUAUUAAUUAAAGGUCCUUAAAGAGAAAUUUGCCCAAUUUUUAAGUUUUUGGACAAAAAUGAGCAUGCAUGGAAAAUUUGGAAAGGUUAAUAAGGAAGGGCAUUUUGGUCAUUUUGUUAAUUAAUGAAAUAAAAAGGGAAAAUCAAGCAAAAAUUCACUCAUUUUCUUCUCCAUGCUGUCGAAUUUGAAGGAGUCUCCAUAGCUAGGGUUUUCCAACAUUUCAAGCUCAAUAGUAAGUGUUCCCUAGCCCCGUUUUUAAUGUUCUUCGUAUUUUUGAAACUUUCGUAACAUGCACUAUCCAUUUCUACCCAUAUUUCAAACUAGGGUUCAUGUUAGAAAUUUGACCCAUGCAUGAGAUGGUUGAUCUUUGAUGAUUUAUUUAGGGUUAUGAAAGUUAGAUGUUACAUAAACAUCCUUUGCUACGUGAUUUUUCAUGAAAACACCAAAAAUGGACCUAAUUGAAAAGGUAUAAAAUGUGGGGUAGAAAUGUGAAGUGGAAGAAAAUGUGGGCUGCUAUAGGCAAGAAAAACAUUCAGCUAGGCUUGGGUAAUUUAGAAAUUUCAUGCAUUUCAUUAUACGAGUCUCAGGACUAAAUUGUAAAAGUGUGGAAGGUUAGGGGCAAAUUGGUCAUUUUGCACGGGGUGAGUCUUAAGCCGAAAAUGAGCAAUGUGAGGUAUUAAAAAUUUAUUUUUACUGAUAUAGACCCUGAGGAACCAAUUUUGUAAGUCGACAGUGGAAAUUGAAAGGUAUCGGAAUAACCAGACACGAAUCCGAAACGACUACCAGGUAAAUUCGUAUAAUCCCAAGUAAACUCUUAAUAUACUUAAAUAUGUAUGUUCUUGAAUAUAUGAAAAUUUAGAUAUUCAUUGCAUGAAAAUCCUUGAAAUGUGGUGGUGUAAUUGAAAAGGAUGAUAAUGUCUCGGUUGAAAUAGAAAAGGGAAAUCUGAUGGAUAAAUUAUGGCUUACAUGACAUGAGAUCCUGCAUGUGUUGCGGAAAAGGAUUUAACCCAAACAGGUAAUUCUAUGAUCUCACAAUAGAAAGGAUCUAGCUCAGACGGGUAAUCUGAUUGAGGACUAAAUUUAGCCUGGACUGGCAAUUCAAAUCCGAGCUUAUGAGAGAAAUUGUCGUAAAAAGGAAUUUAGCUUGGAUUGGUAAUCCCAACAUUACUCUAUGAGUUAUUACUACGGGGGAUUUAGCCUGGACUGGUAAACUCACCAUAAGAUGUAAGGUUCGCGGGAGUGCAUUCUUGAGAUGAUCACUUGUAUGACUUGACGGUUAUUAGGCUAUCCAUCGAGAUUUCUGAGAAAAUUCAACGGGAUUAACAUGAGAAAUAAAGAAUGGAAAUAUCGAAUUGAUGAGCUCAUCUAAGACUAAUGACAUGAUCUAUUGUUUUGAGACUAACUUGAUGAUUGAGUGCAUGUGAUAGGGAAACUAUUUCAUGCUUGUUGGAACUAUUGCUUAAAUAUGGUUGUAUGCUAAUUAAUCAGUAAGUUUACUUCCCAGUUAUCCGGACUUACUAAGCAUAUAAAUGCUUACCCCCUCCUCUUUUUCCUGUCUUACAGAGCUCGUAGACUCAUGAAGAUUGGAAGACGGUUGGAGAAUCAACACACUAUCGUCUUCUCCCGCUUUGGUAUAUAAAUUCUUUUAUUUUGUUUAAUGGCUUGUAUAAUGCUUUUAGUUAUUUUGUUAUAUGUGUCAUUUGGCUAGCCAAUGUAAGGGUUUAAAUGGUAUACUUAUUCUUUUGUAUAUGUUCAUGAGACGUGGCUCAUAUUGAUGUAGGUUGUAAACCUACUAAUAAUGCAUGUUUAUGUUUAAAUGAUUCAUGAGAUAUGGUGACGAGGUUUAUCACGAAUGGAUGCUUGAAAUGGACCUAAAAAUCUGAGAGUGGUCAUAGCAUACAAUGUAUAUGGUUAUAAUAUAGCGUAAAUGUAAAAUAUAAAAUGUGCUAUGUUAAUUUCUCAUAUGGAAAGGAUAAUUUAGCAUGUACUAAGCUGAUGAGAUGAGGCUAACAUGCGAUGAGUCAUGCCAAGGUUGUUUAAGAGUAUAAUGAAGCCAUACUAAAUACCAUUGAAGUCUUUAAGUGUGUAUGGAUAAUAAAGGGUAACCAAAGGAUUGGAAAAUAGCCCUAAAAAGGUCCACACAAAUAGACACACGAGCAUGUGUCUAGGCCAUGUGUGACACACGGUCAGCCCUCAUGGGCGUGUUGCCUAGCUGUGUCUCCCCUGCACCUAAAAUUUUUGGUCAAUUUGCAUGGUAGUAAACACACGGGCAGAGACACGACCAUGUGUCUCAACCGUGUGAAGGACACAACCUAGCACACGGGUGUGUGCCUUGGCCGUGUGCCUAAAAAUGAGUGAUGACGUCAUAAACAAAAUGUUUGGGUUUUUGGACACCGGGAACGACACGGGCGUGUCUAGGCCGUGUGAGGGACACGAGCUAGGGACACGAGCGUGUGCUUGGCCUUGUGAAAACCCCUGUAGGAUCGAAAUGAAAAAUAAAUUCAAAUAAUUUAACACGGGCAAGGGACAUGGGCGUGUCCCUAAGCACACGGGCAUGUGCUUUACCUCCACACAGGCGUGUAAGGCAUAACCCUAGGAAUUUUACUAAAGUUUUCAAUAGUUCUCGGUUUUGUCCCGAAUCAAUUUUAUUGUAUGUUUUGGACCUUAUAGGUCCAUAAUAGGGACACUAUGAUACUGAUUGAUUAGUUUUAAAUUAGAAUGAAAUUUUAUAACCUGUAUUUUUUUUUUUGAAAUGUUUGAGUAUGUGUCCGAUAACGCCUCAUACUUUGUCCGGGUCUCGGGUAUGGUAAGGGGUGUUACAGAUCUUAAGUGAAAAGAAAUAGAAUUCCAAGUUUGUGACAAGGUAUUCUUGAAAGUAUCACAUUGGAAAAAAGUUCUCCGUUUUGGUCGUAAAGGAAAACUGAGUCCACUGUUCAUUAGACAAUAUGAGAUUAUAGAAAGAAUUGGACUGGUUGCAUAUCGGUUAACUUUACCACCAGAACUUGAUCGGAUUCAUAAUGAUUUUCUUGUGUCUAUUCUACAGUGGUAUUGAUCCGAUCCUUCACAUGUUAUUUCUCUGACAGAGGUAGAGAUUCAACCUGAUAUGACAUAUAGUGAAGAGCCGAUCAAAAUCUUAUCUCGGGAAACAAAAGAGUUAAGAAAUAAAAAUGUAGCAUUAGUAAAAGUUCUUUGGAAACGACAUGGUGUAGAAACGGCUACCUGGGAAUCGAAGGACACUAUGAGGAAGUAAUACCCAAAUCUUUUCACUAGUAAGAUUUUCGAGGACAAAAAUUUUUAAAGGGGAUAGUUAUAACAACCCAUUUUUCAAUGAAAUUAGAAUAGUGGUUUCGGGACCACAAAUUCGAUUUGAAAAUAAAGUUUAUUUUUAUUUUAUAAUAUGGUCCUUAUUAUGAUAGACGUGUCGUGUGAAAAUUUUGAUACAAAAAUUUCAUCGAUUAAGUGUUUAAUUAUGAGAAGGACUAAAUUGCAUAAAAUGUAAAAGUUAAAUUCUAGUAGCUAUAAGGAUUAAAUAGCUAUGGAAUUCAAAACUAGUGGUCCUUAUAUGGUAAUUAGACCAUUAAAGAAAAGUAUGUAGAUUUUUGGUGACUCAUCCAUGGAAAAAUUAGAAAAGAGUAGGGACUAAAUUGGAAAUUGAAAUAAUUAAUUAAUUAAAAGAUGAAAAAAAGAAAUAUCAUCUUAUUUUGUCAUCUUCAACCCCAAAAUUAUAUGCAAACCCUAGGAGAGAGAAGAAACUUUCAAGGCUUAAUUGGGUAAGUUUCCUUGUCUCGCUUUUAGUAAUUUUGAUAUUUUUAAAAUCGGGAUAACUUAAUCUAUCUAUUUAGGGGAUUAAUUUGAAAAGUUAUCAAAAUAUAAAAAUUGGUUCAUGGGUGUAUAUGUUGAAAAUUAGAAAUUUAAGGUAGAAAAAGAAAGGUUGUUGAUAGAUUAACAACUUUUACAAAGUUAUUUUUGAUGAGAACAUGAUUUAGGGACUAAAAUGUAAACUUAUGAAAUUGAAGAAAAAUGCUGAUUUUUUAUGAAUACAUGUGGUAUAAAUUUUAUAAUGGGAUUUUAGUUAGGCUUGGAAUAGGGAGUAAAUUGCAUAAGUUUUAUUUUUCGAGCCUACGGACAAAAUUAAAAUUUAUAGAAAAGUUAGGGGCAAAAUGGUAAUUUUGCCUAGGGCAUAAAUUGAGUUCAAAUAAAUGUGAUAUAUGAGAAAUUGAUGAUUCACGCUAUUUAUAUAGAUUUGGACAACACAAAUUUGAGGUUAGACCGAGGAAAAGAAAAGGUUUUCGGAUUAGUAGAUUUUAUACGCGAACAAGUGUCGAGGUAAGUUCAUGUAACUUAAUCAAGCAUGUAAAUAUGUCAAAUUGAAUGUUGUGUUUGUAUGGAAUGUGACUUAUAUUUAUGUAAAUUGUUUGAUUGCUAUGAUGAAGAAUUGAAUGCAUGUUUCAAACAGUGAAAAAAGAGGUAACCUUCGUUUGAAUAUUGAAUUUUGAUGAAUAUAUGUGCUUUUCCGAAAUGAAUGAGGUCCUGCACUUGUUUUUGACGGGAUUUAGCUCGGACAAGUAAUCCUGUUAACCUCAUUAUAGAAAGGAUUUAGCCCGGAUGCGUAAUGUUGAUAUAAUACCUAUCGAGUAUAUGUUAUGAUUAGGGUUUAGCUUGGACAGGUAAUCCUAAUUAAGCUCUUCUAAGCAUACGUUAUAUAAAAGAUUUAGCCUGGACUGGUAAUCCUAUUAUACAAUAUGUAGCUCAAGAUGUGUUCCUUAAUUUAGUUCCCUAAUGGGUACUCUUAAAUAAGAAUUGAUGGGUUAUUAAGUUGUACACCUUGAGUGUACUACUUGAACAUCCAUCAGAAUUUCAAUGAUUCGAUGGACAUGACUCUUAACAUGCUAUGAGAAUUUUGAGAUGAAAUGAUAAUGACUUGAAAGAAUAUUGCAUGAUGAGCUCAUCUAUGUUUACUUGAUUAAUAUGAAGAUUUUGGUGACUAACAUAUUUCAUUGAAUGCAUGUGGUUAGGAAAUUUUGCUAAUGGAUGGAAAAACAUGAUAUUGUAUGCUUAGAUUUAAUAAAUGGGAUUGGUAAGUUUAGUUUCCGUUAUACGAACUUACUAAGCAUGUGUGCUUACUUCAUUUUAUUUUCCCUGUUUUAUAAUGUUUGGAAGCUCGCAAAGGUUGGAGAUCGUUGGAGCAUCGUCACACUAUCAACUAGUUAUUUUGGGUAUAUUUAGCAAAAUCGUUUUGGUAUAAUGGCAUGUAUAGGACAACUUGACCAUUAGUGGUUUGAUAAUAAUUCCUGUAAUCUAGCUAUUAGAAUGGCUAAUAAUGGUUGUUUUGAUAUACUUGUAAUGUCAUGCUAUGGUAGCUAUAUAUAUAUGUAUAUAUAUGUUAGGUGGUUGUUCAAAUUUUGCCUAACAUAUGGAAUAUACCAAGGUAAGACUAUAAACAUAUAUGCAUAUAAUGAUACGCCUUGUUGAACGAUGGAAUUUGCUUAAUUUGAAUGCUUGAAUUGGUUGGUAUUUGGAUGUGAGUUUUAGUGCAGGAAAAUGAUAAAUUUAGGUGACAAAAUGAUGCUAGGAAAUGGUUUCAUUAUGCCUACACGAGCGUGUGUCUAGGCCGUGUACAGGCUGAUCAUCAAAAGUCCUAUACUGAUCUUAAACGAAAAGAAAUAGAAUUUCAAGUCGGUGACAAAGUAUUCUUGAAAGUAUCGCUUUGGAAGAAAGUUCUCCGGUUUGGUCGUAAAGGAGAACAAAGUCCACAGUUCAUUGGACAUAUGAGAUUACAAAAAGAAUCGGACCGGUUGCUUAUCGGUUAUUUUUACCACCAAAACUUGAUCAUAUUCAUAAUGUUUUUCAUGUGUUUAUGCUAUGAUUGUAUUGAUCCGAUCCUUCACAUGUUAUCUCUCUGAAAGAGGUAGAGAUUCUGCCUGAUAUGACAUAUAGCGAAGAACGGAUUAAAAUCUUAGCUCGAGAAGCAGAAGUAAAAAAUAAAAAGGUAGCACUAGUAAAAGUUCUUUCGCAACGACAAGGAAUAGAAGAUGCUACCUGGGAACCGGAGGAUACUAUGAGGAAGCAAUACCCGAAUCUUUCUACUGGUAAGAUUUUCAAGGAUGAAAAUCCUUAAGGGGGAGAGUUGUAGUAGCCCAUUUUUCAAUGAAAAUCAGAACAAUGGUUUCGGGACCACAAAUCCAAUUCGAAAAUAAAAUUUAAUUUUUUAUUACAUGGUCCGUAAUAUGUUGGAAAUGUCAUGUAAAAAUCUCGAUAAGAAAAUUUUAUCGAUUAUGUGUUUAAUUAGGGAAAGGACUAAAUUGCAUAAAAUGUAAAAGUUGAAUUGUAGUAGCUAUAAGGAUUAAAUAAUUAUGGAAUUCAAAACUAGAGUCCUUAUAUGGUAAUUGGACCAUCAAAGAAAAAUAUGUAGAUAUUUUGGUGACUCUUCCAUGGAAAUUUAGAAAAAGGGCAAGGACUAAAUUGAAAUAUAUUUAAUUAAUUAAAAAAUGAUAAAAUAUAUCAUCUUAUUUUUAUGUCAUCUUCAACCUAAAAUACAUGGAAACCCUAGGAGAGAGAAAAAAAACUUUCAUGGCUUAAUUGGGUAAGUUUUCUUUUCCCGUUUUAAGUAAUUUUGAUAUUUUUAAAACCAGGAUAGCUUAGUCUAUCUAUUUGGGGGAUUAAUUUGAAAAGUUAUCAAAGUAAAAAUUGGGUCAUGUAUGUAUAUACUGAAAAUUAGAAAUUAUAGAUCGUAAAUUAAAGGUUAUUGAUAGCUAAACAACUUUUACAAAGUGAUUUUUGAGGAAAACAUUAUAUAGGGACUAAAAUGUAAACUUGUGAAAUUGAAGAAAAAUGCUGAUUUUUUUGAAUACAUGUGGUGUAAAUUUUGUAAUAGAAUUUUAUUUGGGCUUGGAAUAGGGAGUAAAUUGCAUAAGUUUCAUUUUCCGAGCCUAAGGAUGAAAUUGAAAUUUAUGAAAAAGUUAGGGGCAAAAUAAUAAUUUUGCCUAGGGCAUAAAUUGAGUUCAAAUAAAUAUGAUAUAUGAGAAAUUGAUGAUUCAAGCUAUUUAUAUAGAUCCUAACAACACAAAUUCGAGGUUAGAUUGAGAAAAAGAAAAGGUUUCGAAUUAGUAGAUCUUAUACGCGAACAAGUGUCGAGGUAAGUUCGUGUAACUUAAUCGAGCAUGUAAAUAUGUUAAAUUGAAUGUUGUGUUUGUAUGGAAUGUGACUUUUAUUGAUGUGAAUUAUUUGAUUGCUAUGAUGAAAAAUUGAAUACAUGUUUGAAACGGUGAAAAAAGAGGUAAGCUCCGUUUGAAUAUUGAAUUCCGAUGAAUAUAUGUGCUUUCCCGAAAUGAAUGAGGUCCUGCUUUUGUUGCUGACGGGAUUUAGCUCGAACGAGUAAUCCUAUUGACCUCAUUAUAGAAAGGAUUUAGCCCAGACGGGUAAUCUUGAUAUAAUACCUCUCGAGUAUACAUUAUGAUUAGGGUUUAGCCUGGUCUGUAAUCCUAAUUAAGCUCUUCUAAGCAUACGUUAUAUAGAGGAUUUAGCCUGGACUGGUAAUCCUAUUAUAUGGCAUGUAGGUCGAGAGUGUGUUCCUUGAUUUAGUGCCCUAAUGGGUACUCUUGAAUAAGAUUUGAUGGAUUUUUAAAUCGUACACCUUGAGUGUACUACUUGAACAUCUAUCGAAAUUUCAAUGAUUCAAUGGACGCGACUCUUGACAUGGUAUGAGAAUUUUUAGAUGAAAUGAUAAUGACUUGAAAGAAUAUAGCGUGGUGAGCUCAUCUAUCUUUACUUGAUUGAUAUGAAGAUUUUGGUGACUAACAUAUUUGGUUGAAUGCAUGUGGUUAGGCAAGUUUGCUAAUGGAUGGAAAAACAUGAUAUUUUAUGUUUAGAUUUAAUAAACGGGAUUGGUAAGUUUAGUUUCCGUUAUACGAACUUACUAAGCAUGUAAUGCUUAUUCCGUUUUAUUUUUCCUAUUUUAUAGUGCUCGAAAGCUCGUGAAGGUUGGAGAUCGUUAGAGCAUCGUCACACUAUCAACUAGUUUUUUUGGGUAUAUAUAGAGAAAUCAUUUUGGUAUAAUGGCAUGUAUAGGACAACUUGACCAUUAGUGGUUUGAUAAUUAUUCUUGUAAUCUAGCUAUUGGAAUGGCUAGUAAUGGUUGUUUUGAUAUACUUGUAAUGCCAUGCUAUGAUAGCUAUAUAUAUAAAUGUUAAGUGGUUGUUUAAAUUUUUCCUAACUUAUGGAAUAUACCAAGGUAAGAUUAUAAACAUAUGUGCAUGUAAUGAUACGCCUUGUUGAACGAUGGAAUUUGCUUUAUUUGAAUUCUUGAAUUGGUUGGUAUUUGGAUGUGAGUUUUAGUGCAGGAAAAUGGUAAAUUUGGGUGACAAAUGAAGCUAGGAAAUGACUUUAUUUUGUCUACACGAGCAGCCACAUGAGCGUUUGUCUAGACUAUGUGUGAUACACGGCCUAGUAACAUUGGCAUGUGGUUAUACCGUGUGUCCCCUACACCUUAAUUUGGAAAAAUAGAAUGCUCAGAAUUGACCACGCGGACAGAGACACUGCCGUGUGUCUCGGUCGUGUGUUCUACACUGCUUAGAACACGUGCGUGUGUCUUGGCCGUGUGAAACCUGCACCUAAUUUCGAAUUAAAUUAAUUAAUCAUAGGGCCAAGCAUAUAGGCGUGUGGCAUGACCGUGUAUAUAAGUCAGAGAGUUACAUGGAGUUGAACACAGCCUGUAGCAUGGGCGUGUUAUAAGGUCACACGAGCAUGUCCCUUGGACCACAUGGACAUGUCUCUUGGACCACACGAGCGUGUGAGCCUUGCAACUUGAAUUUUUUUGAAAUAUCGCGAAAAAUACUUGUAUUAGGCCUUGAGGGUUCAAUUAAGGGAUAUUUUGAAUGAUCUCGAUCAAUGAAUGGUAAUUUAUAUAAAUUAUUUGUAACACCCCUAACUCGUAUCUGUCGCUGGACUAGGGUUAAGAGGUAUUACCGAAAAUAUAGAAACAUUUCGCAUUCAUUUAACAAACAUCAUAAUCAACAUUAGAAUAAAGUUCCUAUCUUAGGUUAACGAGACCUUAAACAUGCAUUAGAAAUAGGUCGAAACUAAAUCGAACACAUACAAUUUUUUUUCAAAACUUAAAACAUUUUUUUAAGUUACAGAGGUCACAUGCCCGUGUAAACAGGCCGUGUGCCUCACACAGCAUUAAACAUGCUCGUGUGUCUAGGCCAUGGCAAAACAGGGCAUAAUACUAACUUGUCUAUACAGCCACAAGACACGCCCGUGUGCCUAGCCGUACGAAAUUUAAGAAGGCUACUAACUUGGAUCACACGGCCGACCACACGCUCAUGUGCCAGCCCGUGUGUCACACACAACCGGUAGACACACCCAUGUGUCUAGGCUGUGCCGAAACUGUAGGGUAUACUGACUUUAAAUCAUAGGGUACCCAAGGGACACACAACCGUGUAACAUAACUAUGUGUCGCACACGGAUGAGACACACGCCCGUGUGAAUAAAAAUAGGCUAUUUGCAAAGCUAAAUUGCCACCCAUUUUGGACAUUCCUGCAAGCAUGAAACAAAGCACAUUUCAUAUCUCAAAGGCAGCCAAAAAUAUACUAAAUCAUGCACAAAUUGACCCAUGAUAUCAUCAUUCAUUCCCAUAUAAAAAUCCAAUUCAAACAUACCAAUUCAAGGUACAAAUUUUAUAUCAAAAGCACAUGAUUCAUACAUCAUAUUAAUCCAUUUCAAUUCAUAGCAUUACACAUCAUAUUAACUACCCAAAUUAAUCAUGAAACUUACCAAAAUUGACCAUUUCAUUUGGUCAUUCAAGAGCACAUCAAAACUUACCAAAAUUGAACACAAAACAUGUACCAAAAUUCAUUCAUAAUUUCAUCCAUAACCAAGCCAUAUCAUAUGGCUAGAUAUACACAUCUUAAAACACAUUCAAAGUUAUCUAGCCUAUACAUGCCAUACUUUGAUAUAUACAUUUUCAAAAGGUACCAAAAUUAAGUUUGAUAGUGUAAUGAUAAUCCUCGACAAUCCCCGAGCCUCCAAUAGUUUCGAUAUCUAUAAAACGGAUGAAAAACACACAAAGUAAGCUUUCAAAAGCUUAGUAAGUCAUAUACAAAUAAACUUAUCACAUAAAUAAUUUAAAUUCAAUUCAAUCAUAUAGAUCAUGGCAAAGCAUAACCACAUAUCUAUAAAUCUCAUAUAGCUCAUACAUAUUUCAUAUGUCUACAUAUGUUCAAAUACUAACAUUUUAUUCUUAAUUAUGAUAUACAUUUCCAACAUACUUGAGUCGAUACACAACCACAUAGUUACUCAUUUCUCGGAAUGUCCGUUGAACCGUUCAGAAUCAUUAAGGAUAUUCGGAUAGCUGGAAAAGCUCGUACAAUGCCAACAUCCCAGACGUGGUCUUACAUGUAAUCAAAUAUUGAUGCCAUUGUCCCAGAUAGGGUCUUACACGAAAUCAAAUACGAUUCCAAUGUCUCAGACAUGGUCUUAUAUGUAAAUCUCAAAUUAAUGCCAACGCCUCAGACGUGGUCUUACACGAAAUCACAUAUUGGAAAUCCUAUGUCAUGACAUAUGAAUCCUUACUAUUCUUAUGGUUCAUAAAGGACAUUUUCGGACGUCGUCACAUUGUCAGAAUUUUCUUGGAUUUCAUAUAUUCAGCUCUCAUAUCCAUCCACCACAAUUCAAAUCUCAUAUAAGCAAUAAUAAUUCAAUUUAACACAUUUAUUUGUAUAUCGACUUACCUCGUACGGAUUCGAACGAACAAAAUCAACUACUUGAUGACUUUCGACUUACUCCGAUCUAAAUCUGUUUUCUUUGGUUUUUGAUCUAAAUAAAUUCAAAUUUAACUUAUUCAAUCUCACAUUAAUUUAAAAUCAAUCCAUUUACACAUAUUUAGGACAUUUUACAAAUUAGUCCUCAUAUUUUCACGUUUUAACACUUUAGUCAUUAAUUCAUAAAAUCACAAAAUACACAAAAUUUCUUUAGACAUAUGCUUAGCCAAAUAUUCAUUUAGAUCAUACAAGCCCACAUAUUUUAUUUAUUUCUUAUUUUAGUCCCUCAAAAUCUUAUUUUCACAAUUUAGCCCAAAAUACUUAAAUUCAUCAAAAAUUUAAAGACAAAACAUAUGUAUCUGUCAUCAAGCUUCCAUAUUUCAUCAACUAACAUUAAAAAACUCUCUAAAUCAUCAAUAGCAUAACUCAAAAUCAUAAUUAAAUUUAGAAAUUGAGGCAUGGGCUUCAAAAAUUACAAAGCAACGAUCACAAAAACAAAUAAAUUAUCAAAAACAGAACAAAAACGAACCUUCAAUUGUGUUUAAGCAUGGUCGAACCCUAGAACUCUUUUCUUUUUCUUUUUCUUCUUUAAAUUUUGGCAAUAUGAACAUAAAAUGCCUAAUUUCAUGCCUUGUUUUAUUUUAUUACAUAAUAAUUCAUCAUUUACUAAAUUACCCUUUAUAAUUAAACAUAUAAUUCAUGAUAAUUAAGGCAAUUAAUGUCCACUCAAGCUUGAAAUAGUCUAUUCAGAACAUAAGAACCUCUCCUUUAAUAAGACAUAACAAAUAAACACACUUAAUAUAUAGCAUGUAACUUUUACAUUUUACGCGAUUAGGUCUUUUUUAACAAAUCAGCACACAAAUGAUAACAUUUUCAUACGUAACUUUCACAGAUAUCAAUUCACAUAUCGUAAGCACAGAAAAUAAUAUUAAAAUAUUUUUCUAACUCAAUUUUGUGGUACCAAAACCACUGUUUCGACUAGGGUCUAAAUCGGGCUAUUACAUUAUUUGUAAAAUGUUCUGAAAGUUCCGGUAAUACUCUAAAACCCUAUUCCAACGACGGAUACGUGUUAGGGGUGUUACAGGAGUAAUUUGUUUAGAGUAAAUAAUGGAGUGUUGAGCUUGAGUCUCCACUCAUCGGGUUAUUUGAGGCACUAUAAGGGAGCUUGUGGCUUCGACCUGCUCAAUUCGAAAGACUAUAUUUGAUUUGUGGGGGUUAAGAGAUCCGUUUAUCUAAUAUAUGAUCACAUGUUUACUUUUUUCCAUGGAUGUGUUAUGAUUGAUUGAUUUUGACUAUAAAAUUGAAUGUUUACGUGUUAAAAAAUGAUUUUACAUGCCAUGGAAAAAUGAAUCCUUAAUUCUUGAAAUAGUAUGUGAUGUUAUGGUGAAAUGUUAACAUGUUGUGACUAAAAAACUAAUGUUUAAUUGCUUUGAUUUAUGCAUGAUUGGGUGUAAAAUACUUGAUGUUUUUACUAUCAUGCACUGAGCUUUUUAACCUCACACUCUCACAUUUCGUCAGAGAAAUUUCAGGCUUAAAGAGUCAAGUAGUGAGUGCAAGGGCGAUCCAAGAAUAAGGCUCAGUAAUGGCUUAAGAAAUUUACUUUAGAGACUAUAUAAGGGCAUUGUGGUGCUUUUGGGACUAGUAUUAUUUUACUUGUAAUUGGCAUUGUACAUUAAAUUUUGGACUUUAAUUUUGGUGAUUUUAUAAUUGCUUUAAUACAUGAUUUUAUGUUUAAUUGAUGUUUGAUUUAUGAUAUGUUGAUGAGUGUUCAUACGGUUGUUGAUAACACAGUGUAUGAAGCAUGUAUUUUAUACUAAAAAUGUUUAAUUGAAGCUUACCAUGGAGUAGAUUGCUUGCGACAAAGGUAUGUAGCUUGUGUGAAUUAAUUGGUGUUUGCUAAGCAUGUAAUUGGGUGUUAAAUUUUGAUUAACUAUUACAUAUUUGUUUUAAAUAAAUUAAAUUGGAGAUGCGUGAAUGUUUAUUGUAAUUAAUUGUAGCUAUUUCAAAUUUAAUGGGCAAGUAAAAUAUGUAAAAUCGAGUAAUUAAAACGAAUUUUUGUUAAAAUAAGUGCAGUGGUUUGCACACGGGCGUGUGUCUUUUAACAUGGGCAUGUGAGUUUUUGGGGUUUGAUUUUUUAUUUUUGUAAUUUAGUAUUGUAUUUUGCUUAAUUUAUAAUUUAGUCCAAAAACUUGAUUAGAUUAAUUAAAGCCUUUAAUGAUAGGGAAACUUGGUAAUAUUUUAGAAUUAGACUUGUAACUAUUAAUAUUUGAUAAAAUCACUCUUUAUUUUUAAUUUUGAAAAUGUACUAAAACUUUAUAAAAGUUACGAUUUAGUCCCUAUUAAUAAAACUUGGAUUAGACAUAGUAAAUUAACUCGAAUUAAGCUGAAAUUUUUAGGUAUGCAUAAUUUAACUAAAAGAAGGUAAGUAAAAAUUUUAAAAAAAAUAAGGAUAGUUUAACCUUAGGUGAUAAAAUGACUAAAAUACUCUUAAAUUUAAAUAUUUAAAAAAAUUUUAAAAAUGAUUAACAAAUUACUUCCGCAUUAAUAAAUGAUAUUUAAUUAGUUAUAAAUGAGUGUUCUAAAGUUGGUGUGUGCAUCGACUGGUCGUUAGUUAGAGAGUCAUUUCGAUGGUUAAUGUAACGUUUUGAAUUUGAGCUUUUUCAUCCCGAUCGAGUUUGGAGUUUUACACUUCUAGGAAUAAGAUUACUCACGAGGUAUUUUCCACUCUAUUCCUAAUUUACUCACCUCUAUUUUGGGAUUUCUGUGCGAGUUGGAUACCCUUUUGUUGCAUCGUGUUCGUUCUGAGGCUUUUGCGCCGCUGUUCUGGAAGGCUCCUACUGAUUUGUGGGUCCGUCCUAACUUUGAUGCGGCUCUUUUUAUCAAUCUCCAGGCUGCAAGUGCAGGAGUAGUGGUUAGAAAUAACGAGGGACUGUUAUCAGGUCGACGUGCUUUUGGAAGGAGCAAAUACCUUGUCCUCUAUCAGCGGAGGCCCUGGCUUUUGCGCAGGCUAUCCGCUUUGCCCGAGAUCUAGGCUUUCGCUGGGUUGAAACCGAAGGCAACUCUGCGGUGCUUCUCUAAGCUACGGAAUUCGGCCACUGAUCGUUUGCCCCUGAGCGCAUUUGUCUGGGACGCAAAAAGGCUGGUGGUGGGCUUUGAACGAUUUAAAUGUCAACAUAUUAAGUGGGGAGGCUAUGUGGUGGGUCACAUGUUGGAGUGCAAAGGCCAUAUUCGAAAGCGAGAUGUCUUUUGGAUGUCGGCUGUGGAUGUUGGUCGUCGGGGACAUCUUUGAUCUUGAAGGUGAGCUCUCGGAUGGAGUUUUUUCUGGCCAGAUCUAUAUUUCUCGAUGGCAGGUUGUUGUGGCUUCAUCAUGUUCGUUGCUUGGUGUCAGAUCCAGUCGAUGCUGCUGCUCUUAUCGGACAUGCAUGCGUAGCUGGGAAAGACAAUGACUCUUUAGCUACUUCUGUUCUCUGUUCCCUUUUUUUUUUCUUUUUUUUGUGAUACUUUUAUGGCUCUUGGUUGUUUUGCUGGUUUGCUGGUUGUUAUUUUCUUUUGAUUUGUGGGGGAUGGGAUCGCAUUAAUGGGCGAAGCUCCCUAUGUGUUUUGUUUUGUCUCUUUAAAUUAAUGCACGUCCUCUUUAUUCAAUAAAAAUAUAACUAUUUAAUAUA